UGAGCGAGUUCACUGUGUGCGUGAGCGAGUGAGCGAAAAGUCAGAGCGGCGCUGAGUCUCCGGGAGAAGGGUACCCGGGGAGGGCCAGGGAGAGCGCGCGGCGGACGCGCCCCGGACGUGCGGCGGCACCGGGAGGCCGGGCCGAGCGGUUCAGUUUCAACUUUGAAUCUCCUGUAGGACUGACUGUAAACUAAUUUCCCAAGAUUUUUGUAUAAGAGAUAGAUGAGAAGGACUGUACUUUCAGGUUUUGCGAGAAUACCUCAAGUUGGACUCGGAAGCAAGAUUUACCACCAACUUUGAAGUGGAAUCAGGUUAUACAUUGUUAAUGUGG